GAUGAACGCUGGCGGCGUGCCUAAUACAUGCAAGUCGAACGGGGAGUAGCAAUACUCUUAGUGGCGAACGGGUGAGUAACGCGUUGGUACCUGCCCCGAAGCGGGGGAUAACGGACCGAAAGGUCCGCUAAUACCCCAUGUGCUCGGUAACGAGUAAAGGUGAAAACCACUUUGGGAGGGGCCUGCGUCCCAUCAGCUAGUUGGUAAGGUAACGGCUUACCAAGGCGAUGACGGGUAGGGGACCUGAGAGGGUGGCCCCCCACAAUGGAACUGAAACACGGUCCAUACACCUACGGGUGGCAGCAGUAGGGAAUAUUGGUAAUGGGCGCAAGCCUGAACCAGCAGCGCCGCGUGUGCGAUGACGGCCUUCGGGUUGUAAAGCACUUUUGACUGGGACGAGGAAGGACGGUACCGGUCGAAUCAGCCUCGGCUAACUACGUG
rnacentral:rRNA from 1 species